GGGGGGGGGCAAGUAGAGGACGUGUGAAAUGGAGGCACGCAGUCGACCUAUUGGGUGGAUGGGUGUCUGGGGUGGAUGUGCAUUUGAUGUGCGCGUGCACACACGCACACACACAAAUACACAUAUAAACACAUGCCCACACACGCAUGCACAUAUUGCCCCGGAUGUGAACCCACAUAGCCACGAGCACACAUAUACAUACAUAUAAAUACACACACACACACACACACACACACACACACACACACACACACACACACACACACACACACACAAAAACAUGCACACACACACACACAGAAACAGGAUUUAUUCUAGAGCACACAAAAAUAACAUGGGACACAUACAGAUGUAUGCACCUAAGCAAAAACAUAAAGCCCAUCAAAUAUGUAAAUACAAACCUAGCAUAUUUUGCGGAGGCAAGCAUUCACCAAGCAAAUUCAGAAGGUUGGCAAACACGCACGCACGCACGCACGUACGCACGCACGCACGCACGCACACACACACACACACACACACACACACACACACACACACACACACACACACACACACACACACACACACACACACAAACAUGCAACCCCUCACACACAGCCAGCCACCAACAGGCAAACACUCACAAACAACACACUCAGCAGUUAGACAGAUUGGAAUGGGUGUAGGAAGAAGGAAAUAAAGUAAAUUAUUCACCAGCAGUGCUACAUUACUCAGUCGUCAAUAACAGGCAGUGGUGCUAGUGUUAAGAAAAAAGGAAGCCCCCAUAUAAUCUAUGGUCAAUAGGCCUCUUAUAUUUUAGCAGUGAUGAUCUUGUUGUCCAUUUUCCUAAUUAUACUGCUUUGUUAAACAGCCCCUGCGAGGUUCCGACCAGUAGACAAUGUCCUGGUGUCACUGAUGGCAUUGCCAAUACCUUUCAUUUGACAGUGAAAGUGUGUUGAUAUUUGGUCGCUGCUAGCUGUGCUAAGCAGUGACUGCUCUCAGCAUGAAUUCUUUAUAAGAUGAUCCAUAAAGCAAUCAUGGCCAACAUACUUAAUCUACUGAAAGUAUUGUGUUCAAAGCAGUGCCACUCACAGCAGGCUGAAAUGAAUUUAGACAGUGGUGAGUUUCAAUAGCAUUUCUCAAAAAAGCAAUAUACCUUUCUAAAUCUGCAUUUUAAUUCUCUGCAACACCUGCUCUUAUUCAUGUCCAAAAUAGUUUGAUCUGUUGAUAAUCUGAAAUACGUUUGUGUUAGGCUAAGAUAUUGGCCCUAUAAAUGUUACCUGUUUUGUUCUCAAAACAUAUAAAAGGCAUGAUUCCAAACGGCAUGGUAAAAUUGGCAUUAGACCAUACGUGUAGAACUCCUGAUUUAUCUUACAGCUGUUUAGAGAAGGGCUGCGGAUCCAGACCUGGUUGGUCAAUCUAAAUCCUAUACCAGGAUUGAUUUCCUUUUUCUCUCUCUCUCUCUCUCUCUCUCUCUCUCUCUCUCUCUCUCUCUCUCUCUCUCUCUCUCUCUCUCUCUCUCCCCCCCCUCUCUUUCCCCCUCUCACAUUCCCUGCAUCUCAUCCCUACAUGUGCGCGUGCGUGCACCAAUGUCUGUGUCUAUACCAAUGCCUGUGUGUUACACUGCUUGCCUGUGCGCUGUCGUACGUGAGUACAUGUGAAUAUGUGCGUGCUACACGUGUGAGUAAGUAGGUGUCCGGACACAUCAGGGCUCUGCGACGGGCCGCUGAGAGAAAUCUGUCCCUGGAGGGUUGAAGCAGCAGCGCCCCAUAAAGUUAAACCCUCAGAGAGGAGCCACACCACAGAACACAGGCAGGCAGUCGUGGAAAUAAAACGCCGUUCAAAUUGCAAUAUUGAAGACAGUUUAAAUAUUAAAACGCAUACAUCCAUAUGACUUUCUCUGCCUUAGAACCCUUAAAAAACAUCAUUGCUCUUGUGUAGUUGUUUCAAUGCGUUGCAAACUGAUUCAUCUCUAUUGUACUUGUAUGCUGGUCUAUCUCUAGGGCCUGCCGGGUGACAAAAACAGGCCCAUGGUAUGCAACAACAUGGCGCCUGGCCAUGCACCACUUAUGCAGUAGAAUGACCUAGAAGAACAUAAUUAAUUCAUGUCCAAUUAUUACAUCCCCCGGUAUCCCUACUGGAUAAAGUACAACUCACCGUGCCCAUCAGUGAAAGCAAUCCCACAGCCGUUCUGCACACCCACACAUCUGUGGCGCUCCAGAACACGAUCAUAUACAGAGUCGUGGCUGCAUAUUAAUUGGAUAAAAUACCACCAUGACCAUCCAACCAUGCAGCACCUUGUGGCUAGCGUUUCUGGGGGAUCUCGGAGAUAAGCUGAUGCUAAAAAAGGUUUUGCUGCUGCAUAUAACGUGUCUCGGUUGGAGAAAACAUUACAGGAGAACUGACUUGUUAGUUUGUUUCAUUCCAUUAUUAUUCCGGCCUAUUUUUCGAAUGCUACAAAUAAAAAUAUAAACAUUGAUUUUGAUACAUAGAACAUCAGAUUUUGAUACAUUUGAUAGACUGAAUGUUUUUGUAUCGGACAACAGUCUUUCCAAACCUAUAGUGCUGGAAGGUGCAGCUUUAUAAUAAAACAUUUACAUGUUUAUAUAAGACUCUCAUCCAUGCUGUAUCUAUCCAUAAGGCAAGGAUAUGAAGGCUACAUUGAGCUAAUGUGAUGGCCCAUCACAACAAAUCCUUAAGGGGGAUAACAAAGUCCUACAUCUUUGUAGGAAUCAUCUGUUUUACUUACCAUAUUGCAUAAGUAGGUCUAAUGUACACUGAAUGUGAUUUCUACUUACCUUCACUAAACACAUAAAAACUAGAGAUUACGAAGGCGUUAAUGUGAAGAUUAGUGUAUUCCUUGUGCUGGAUUGUGUUGCCUGCUUCUCAUAAAAAAUACAUAAAAUGAAAAAAUAUAUUAUUUACAGCACUAAAAAAAAUAUUGUUGGUGUUCAAAAUGUAGCUUUAGUUAAAUUUCUCUGCAUUAGGAAUUGCUUAUUGCUUAUUUUAAUACACUAACUAUUGACAUUGUAUUUCAUUGGCUUUCAUCAUGAGUGUCCUGACAACGAGAGGGAAGACAGAAUGUUCUUCAGUAGGUUAACUGUUCCUCCUGUUUGGUUAAUUGCCACUGCUGGUCAUUUUCAAGCAUGACUUGCUGUUUCAUGCUUGGAACAGCGUGGUGGUCGUCCGUGGAGAGAAUAACUGAUGGCAGAUCAUUAGUGUCUGUCAGUCCCUUAGACUCUGACAGGAUCCUUCUCACGGCGCAGUUUUGUUCUUGUAGAUUUUGUUUUUUAACUGCUGUAGAGGGGCUUCAGUAGUACUUAGUAUUCAUUGAUAAUGACGGAUUCCGAUUUUCCUCAUAUGCGCUUUCCUGCUUAUUUUUCAUGCAUGAGUGGCUUUCUUUUUCAUGACAAAGAUAAGUGCCAAGUUGGAAACUGGUUGUUUCUGUUUUUCUUUUUUACUUCCCUUCUGCAGUGUCAUAGCCGUCAAACCAGGGCUCUCUUAUUUGGCAGCAAACACACAAUCCUUGAGCAUGUACCUUAUUGACCUAUUCACAUGAACUGAAAUCCUUCCAAUUUUUUUAAACACCGAUCCGAGAUGAAUAAUUCUUAACAUGUUUGAAAAAUAAAUAUGAUUAAAGUCGCAAUGUGCAAUAUUUAAACAGUGUAGCUUAAAGUAACCUGGACAAGUCUUCAAUGCUGAUCAAUAGUGAUUCCUAUAUCGUUAUCAAUAAUAUCAAAUACUGUAACCAAUACAUUAAAAAAUAAAAAAUGCUU